rnacentral:rRNA from 1 species
UACGUAGGGUGCGAGCGUUAAUCGGAAUUACUGGGCGUAAAGCGUGCGCAGGCGGUUCGUUGUGUCGGGUGUGAAAGCCCCGGGCUUAACCUGGGAACGGCCGUUGAAACUGGCGAACUGGAGUGUGGCAGAGGGGGGUGGAAUUCCGCGUGUAGCAGUGAAAUGCGUAGAGAUGCGGAGGAACACCGAUGGCGAAGGCAGCCCCCUGGGCUAACACUGACGCUCAGGCACGAAAGCGUGGGGAGCAAACAGG